rnacentral:rRNA from 1 species
GACGAACGCUGGCGGCGUGCUUAACACAUGCAAGUCGAACGGAAAGGCCCUGCUUUUGUGGGGUGCUCGAGUGGCGAACGGGUGAGUAACACGUGAGUAACCUGCCCUUGACUUUGGGAUAACUUCAGGAAACUGGGGCUAAUACCGGAUAGGAGCUCCUGCUGCAUGGUGGGGGUUGGAAAGUUUCGGCGGUUGGGGAUGGACUCGCGGCUUAUCAGCUUGUUGGUGGGGUAGUGGCUUACCAAGGCUUUGACGGGUAGCCGGCCUGAGAGGGUGACCGGCCACAUUGGGACUGCGAUACGGCCCAGACUCCUACGGGAGGCAGCAGUGGGGAAGAUUGCACAAUGGGCGGAAGCCUGAUGCAGCAACGCCGCGUGCGGGAUGACGGCCUUCGGGUUGUAAACCGCUUUCGCCUGUGACGAAGCGUGAGUGACGGUAAUGGGUAAAGAAGCACCGGCUAACUACGUG